rnacentral:sRNA from 1 species
UCGAAAAUCUCUUUUUACUUGUGUUCAU